rnacentral:sRNA from 1 species
AAAUGUAAAGCAAGCUGUCUGUGUCAUCUGUCAUCCACUGAUUGCCAUAAUUGAUUUGGUGGAUCUGUCCUGCUAGGAAGGAGUCCCCUUUCUUCCCGGUUCUGCUUCAUGUGUCUCUCCCAAAGCUGUGUGCUUCAUUGAAGAGAGAGGAGAGCCAGGAUCUACAUGGAGUCAAGUUCUCCCAUAGGACUGUCCAGGACUCAGUAAGUAGGUUAUCCCACCUGACUGUGACUCUCCCACUAGAUUAUGAGCCACCUGAAGGUGAAGAUCUCAUCUUUGUGCU